rnacentral:rRNA from 1 species
UACGGAGGGGGCGAGCGUUGUUCGGAAUCACUGGGGGUAAAGGGUGCGUAGGCGGCGUGGUAAGUCGGGUGUGAAAUCUCGGAGCUUAACUCCGAAACUGCAUUCGAUACUGCGGUGCUUGAGGACUGGAGAGGAGACUGGAAUUCAUGGUGUAGCAGUGAAAUGCGUAGAGAUCAUGAGGAAGACCAGUGGCGAAGGCGGGUCUCUGGACAGUUCCUGACACUGAGGCACGAAGGCCAGGGGAGCAAACGGG